rnacentral:rRNA from 1 species
GACGAACGCUGGCGGCGUGCUUAACACAUGCAAGUCGAACGGAAAGGCCCUGCUUUUGUUGGGUGCUCGAGUGGCGAACGGGUGAGUAACACGUGAGUAACCUGCCCUUGACUUUGGGAUAACUCCAGGAAACUGGGGCUAAUACCGGAUAGGAGCUCCUGCUGCAUGGUGGGGGUUGGAAAGUUUCGGCGGUUGGGGAUGGACUCGAGGCUUAUCAGCUUGUUGGUGGGGUAGUGGCUUACCAAGGCUUUGACGGGUAGCCGGCCUGAGAGGGUGACCGGCCACAUUGGGACUGAGAUACGGCCCAGACUCCUACGGGAGGCAGCAGUGGGGAAUAUUGCACAAUGGGCGGAAGCCUGAUGCAGCAACGCCGCGUGCGGGAUGACGGCCUUAGGGUUGUAAACCGCUUUCGCCUGUGACGAAGCGUGAGUGACGGUAAUGGGUAAAGAAGCACCGGCUAACUACGUG